CUAACCAAGGAAAAAGGUAUCUCUCCCUGUCUCAGAGUCCUUUUAGACUGGAAAAAUGUUGUACUUUGAAAGGCAACUCACAGUGCUCCACUGAGUUUAAUAUAAGAAAGAAAUUAGGCCCUUGUUUCUCUGUAGUCUGUAUAGGCCAGCAAAGAUCUUUAACACUUGCACAAUAUUUAGAGGCAGGAGAGGUUCCACUGAAGUCUCUGGUCAGCAUUGUGCAGACAGUUGAUUAUCAGCUUUGGUUAUCUAGCUGAGCCAAAAUAAGAAUACAUUGGUUGGCACUGCCUGAAGUAUUUCAAAUCUUACUUAGGUUAUGUGUUGUUUGCUUUGAGGAGAAGGUGGAAAACUGCAUGUGAAAUUUAAAGUGUAUUUAAGAAAUGAAAAAUCAGGAUGGUUUACAUGUUAAAAAUAUCAAAAUGGGACAUUUCGUCUUUUUCACUUCAGGGGGAGGAAGAAGACAAAACUAUGCUGGUGUGCAAAAGCGGUGCUGAAUAACCCUAGAAAGGAGGUCUACUCCUGCAUCCCAUUUCCCACUGAAGUCGGAGGAGGAGUUUGCUCAGCCCAACAUGCAGGAGUUCACCAACACAAUGGCUUUCCAAGCAGUUGGGUGGACACACGGAACCAACCAGUCCCAUUCUGGCAUGCGCAUGAAAUCUCCCUAGCAACAAAGAUGACAGCUUGGUAACAGCAGCUGCUGCUUAAUGGAAAACAUUAGAAAAAUAACUCAUUCUGGAUCUAUGUUCCCUCUUUACAUUUUCAUAUUUAUCACAAGAAAAAAACACCCCACACCAUCCAGAACUUUAAAAAGCUUUAAGGCACAAGGGUCAGACACACAGCUGUGCAUGUAAAGAGAUGAGCUUCAAAAGUGUGAUUUUGUUAUCCUGGCACAUACAUUUUUCUUUUUAGCCACAGCUAUAUUGUUUGUGACUUAACAAGUGGGCCUGUGUACAUGUUGUGGGAGUGCCAUGGAUGUGCUAUUAUUUAUUCUUGCAUCAAACAUGAGAGAAGGCCAAAUAUGUGUUAAAUUCCAAGUCAGCAUUUUUGGUUACUGUUGCUUGAAGUACAUCCAUUUCUUCAAGUAUAUCAGAGCUUGGUUCAACAGAAAGGAUUUAGUAUCCAUACAAAAGCAAAUCCGUGUGUCUGGUAAAAUCUCCCCCUUUUUAUUUCUUUAAUAAAAGCAAACACCAAAUUAUUUUUUCUUCUGUUGUUAGUGUUCUGAAAAAGUCCAGUGAAGACAUAAAGACAAGUAUAUAGCAGCUUCCUGAAAUGAAAAACAAAUCAGAGUAGAGCUACAUCACCAUGUGAAAUAGACAAAUUAGGUGGAGAUACAUUAACUACUGUCAUUCAUCAGUCUGAAGUGAUACAAUUUACUACAUGGUAAUAAUGGCCAUAGUUGUAUAAGUAGUAAAGGUAAAAUUACAUCAUGACUUGCAUUAGCAGUAUGAGAUUAUAUCCUGAUUAAUGCACAAUUAACUUGUCAUGUGUACAGCGCAUGUGUUUGUGUGUGCACAGCUGGGUUAUGCUAUGUCUCAUGCUCACAUAUGUAGCAUUUAUCACUUUCUUCUCUAUCUCCAGAAAUUAAAUGGCUUCAUCUACUAAAAUCCAUAAACACGCUGCCAGCUUAAUGCAGAGCCAUCUAAAGUACAACUAAGAGACCCUUGGAGAUGACCACUGGAGAAUCUUGAACACCUGCACGAAUCCUCUCCACAGACUGGGAGCUGCAUCCACAGCUCCAAGGAGACAUCUCCAGGGAGUGGUUUGUGUGUCUCUUGAAGUACUUCAAGAUGACAGAAGACAGACGCUUCCAAUUGCACCAGCUGAAAUAACUGACUUAGUCUUCACUUGUAAGAGUGAAUUUAAGAUUCAAUGAUAUCAACGCUUACAUUGUCCAAGGAAAAAGCAGGAGCUGCAGUGCUUGGCAAGGCAGAACAGUGACACUUCCCAUCCAAGGCACAUCCAUGUAAAUGGGCAAAAUGAAUCCAACUGCAUGAGGUUAUUCUCGUACAGCAGUAAGUAGUCAGCAGCACUAUACAGCAUAGCCCUACAUUUCCUUAUUUACACACCAGUAGCCAUUCCAGCUACCUUAAAAGUGAAUCAAGAUUUUACAGGGAGAUAAUGUUAUCAUGUCA